rnacentral:rRNA from 2 species
UUGACGGAAGGGCACCACCAGGGGUGGAGCCUGCGGCUUAAUUUGACUCAACACGGGGAAACUCACCAGGUCCAGACACAAUGAGGAUUGACAGAUUGAGAGCUCUUUCUUGAUUUUGUGGGUGGUGGUGCAUGGCCGUUCUUAGUUGGUGGAGUGAUUUGUCUGCUUAAUUGCGAUAACGAACGAGACCUUAACCUGCUAAAUAGCCCGUAUUGCUUUGGCAGUACGCUGGCUUCUUAGAGGGACUAUCGGCUCAAGCCGAUGGAAGUUUGAGGCAAUAAC